CAACCUGCCCACCACUUGGGGAUAACCUUGCGAAAGUAAGACUAAUACCCAAUGAUAUCUCUNNNANACAUCUGAAAGAGAUUAAAGAUUUAUCGGUGAUGGAUGGGGAUGCGUCCGAUUAGCUUGUUGGCGGGGUAACGGCCCACCAAGGCGACGAUCAGUAGGGGUUCUGAGAGGAAGGUCCCCCACAUUGGAACUGAGACACGGUCCAAACUCCUACGGGAGGCAGCAGUGAGGAAUAUUGGUCAAUGGACGAGAGUCUGAACCAGCCAAGUAGCGUGCAGGAUGACGGCCCUAUGGGUUGUAAACUGCUUUUAUAAGGGAAUAAAGUUAGUCUCGUGAGACUUUUUGCAUGUACCUUAUGAAUAAGGACCGGCUAAUUCCGUGCCAGCAGCCGCGGCAAUACGGAAGGUCCGGGCGUUAUCCGGAUUUAUUGGGUUUAAAGGGAGCGUAGGCCGGAGAUUAAGCGUGUUGUGAAAUGCAGACGCUCAACGUCUGCACUGCAGCGUGAACUGGUUUCCUUGAGUACGCACAAAGUGGGCGGAAUUCGUGGCGUAGCGGUGAAAUGCUUAGAUAUCACGAAGAACUCCGAUUG
rnacentral:rRNA from 1 species